rnacentral:rRNA from 1 species
GACGAACCGAGCGAACGUUGUUCGGAAUCACUGGGCUUAAAGGGCGCGUAGGCGGGCUGUCAAGUCUGGGGUGGAAUCCCGCGGCUCAACCGUGGAACUGCCUCAGAUACUGACGGUCUCGAGGGGGGUAGGGGCGAGCGGAACUGUGAGUGGAGCGGUGAAAUGCGUUGAUAUUCACAGGAACUCCGGUGGCGAAGGCGGCUCGCUGGACCUCUUCUGACGCUGAGGCGCGAAAGCCAGGGGAGCAAACGGG